GAUUCAGCGGCGGACGGGUGAGUAAUGCCUAGGAAUCUGCCCGAUAGUGGGGGACAACGUUUCGAAAGGAACGCUAAUACCGCAUACGUCCUACGGGAGAAAGUGGGGGAUCUUCGGACCUCACGCUAUCGGAUGAGCCUAGGUCGGAUUAGCUAGUUGGUGAGGUAAUGGCUCACCAAGGCGACGAUCCGUAACUGGUCUGAGAGGAUGAUCAGUCACACUGGAACUGAGACACGGUCCAGACUCCUACGGGAGGCAGCAGUGGGGAAUAUUGGACAAUGGGCGAAAGCCUGAUCCAGCCAUGCCGCGUGUGUGAAGAAGGUCUUCGGAUUGUAAAGCACUUUAAGUUGGGAGGAAGGGCAGUAAGCUAAUACCUUGCUGUUUUGACGUUACCAACAGAAUAAGCACCGGCUAACUUCGUGCCAGCAGCCGCGGUAAUACGAAGGGUGCAAGCGUUAAUCGGAAUUACUGGGCGUAAAGCGCGCGUAGGUGGUUCAGCAAGUUGGAUGUGAAAUCCCCGGGCUCAACCUGGGAACUGCAUCCAAAACUACUGAGCUAGAGUACAGUAGAGGGUGGUGGAAUUUCCUGUGUAGCGGUGAAAUGCGUAGAUAUAGGAAGGAACACCAGUGGCGAAGGCGACCACCUGGACCGAUACUGACACUGAGGUGCGAAAGCGUGGGGAGCAAACAGGAUUAGAUACCCUGGUAGUCCACGCCGUAAACGAUGUCAACUAGCUGUUGGGUUCCUUGAGAACUUAGUAGCGAAGCUAACGCGAUAAGUUGACCGCCUGGGGAGUACGG
rnacentral:rRNA from 1 species